AUGAAAAGAAGUACUGAAUUCUUGGCUUGCGAUAGUUUGAGUUCUCUUGCUCUCAAGUUGGUUCAGAGUAGACAACAUCUGGUAUUUCCAUUGGUUUAUCGGCUCAUCAGACUUGCAUUGACAUUACCGGUGGCAACUGCAUCAGUUGAGAGGGUUUUCUCAACCAUGAAUAUUAUAAAUACUGAUCUUCGAAACAAGAUGGGUGAUGAUUGGCUUAAUGAUUUGAUGGUUUGCUUUGUUGAGCGCGAUAUAUUUGCUAAAAUUAGUGAUAAAGAGAUUAUGGUUCAUUUUCAUGCCUUGAAGAACCGUCGAGGUCAUCUACCUCCAGAACCUCGUGUUCAUUAUGCAAUUACGUCUUAA
rnacentral:rRNA from 1 species